GACGAACGCUGGCGGCGUGCUUAACACAUGCAAGUCGAGCGGUAAGGCCCUUCGGGGUACACGAGCGGCGAACGGGUGAGUAACACGUGGGUGACCUGCCUCUAGCUCUGGGAUAAGCCUGGGAAACUGGGUCUAAUACCGGAUAUGACUCCACGGCGCAUGUUGUGGGGUGGAAAGCCUUGUGCGGCUAGAGAUGGGCCCGCGGCCUAUCAGCUUGUUGGUGGGGUGANGGCCUACCAAGGCGACGACGGGUAGCCGGCCUGAGAGGGCGACCGGCCACACUGGGACUGAGACACGGCCCAGACUCCUACGGGAGGCAGCAGUGGGGAAUCUUGCGCAAUGGGCUAACGCCUGACGCAGCAACGCCGCGUGGAGGAUGAAGGUCCUUGG
rnacentral:rRNA from 1 species